UACGUAGGGUGCUAGCGUUACUCGGAUUGACUGGGCGUAAAGGGCGCGUAGGCGGAUGGUACAGUCAGACGUGAAAUUCCUGGGCUCAACCUGGGGGCUGCGUUUGAUACGUGCUGUCUGGAGUUCGGAAGAGGGUCGUGGAAUUCCCAGUGUAGAGGUGAAAUUCGUAGAUAUUGGGAAGAACACCGGUGGCGAAGGCGGCGACCUGGUCCGAUACUGACGCUGAGGCGCGAAAGCGUGGGGAGCAAACAGG
rnacentral:rRNA from 1 species